rnacentral:rRNA from 1 species
CCUGGCUCGAGAGCGAACGUUAGCGGCGGGCUUAACACAUGCAAGUCGAACGCGAAAGGGAUUCGUCCCCAGUAGCGUGGCGUCCGGGUGAGUAACACGUAGGAAACCUUGCCUAGAGUGGGGGAUAACGUCCCGAAAGGGACGCUAAUACCGCAUAAGCCCACGUCGGCCUCGGCCGAUGCGGGAAAAGAUGGCCUCUGAAUUCAAGCUAUCGCUCAAGGAUGGUCCUGCGGCGCAUCAGCUAGUUGGUGGGGUAACGGCCUACCAAGGCGAAGACGCGUAGCUGGUCUGAGAGGAUGAUCAGCCACACUGGCACUGAAACACGGGCCAGACUCCUACGGGAGGCAGCAGUGGGGAAUAUUGGACAAUGGGCGCAAGCCUGAUCCAGCCACGCCGCCGUGAGUGAUGAAGGCCUUCGGGUUGUAAAGCUCUGUGGGGAGGGGCGAAAACGGCCGGUAAGAAACGACCGGUCCUUGACGGUACCUCCUUAGCAAGCACCGGCUAACUCUGUG